GGAAGAUGGCGGCGGCGCUGUUCCGCGGGCGGGUGGCCAUCGUUAUCGGCGGUGGCACCGGCAUCGGCAAGGCCAUCGCCGCCGACUUGCUGGCGCUAGAUGAGCAGCAGAGCUGGUAUGAGGAAGGGAUGGCUUCUGCUGUGGUGCUGAGAUUGUGGAAGGAGGGAACUGGGAGCAAGAUGUCCUUGCCUGCUUGGCGGGAGAAUCUAUGUAGUAGCAAUCACUGAAGCCUUAAAGCUGUCCUGAGUCCACUGGUGUGACAGAAGAAACUAGAC
rnacentral:lncRNA from 1 species